rnacentral:rRNA from 1 species
GAGUUUGAUCUUGGCUCAGAACGAACGCUGGCGGCAGGCUUAACACAUGCAAGUCGAACGGGCGUAGCAAUACGUCAGUGGCGCACGGGUGAGUAACGCGUGGAUAUCUGCCUUUUGGUUCGGGAUAACCUUGGGAAACUAGGGCUAAUACCGAAUGGUUCCUACGGGAUAAAGAUUUAUCGCCAAAAGAUGAGUCCGCGUCCGAUUAGCUAGUUGGCGGGGUAACGGCCCACCAAGGCGACGAUCGGUAGCUGGUCUGAGAGGACGAUCAGCCACACUGGGACUGAGACACGGCCCAGACUCCUACGGGAGGCAGCAGUGGGGAAUAUU